rnacentral:lncRNA from 1 species
GUAGACUUAAGAAAUAAAACACAUGGAAAGAAACCAAGAAAACUUUAAAGAUAUUUAUGAACUUCAGAGACACAUUGUUCUCAUUACAGCUAGAAGUUCAGUUCAUUGAUUAAAAGGACAUUAUUGAAAAUGAUGUACACAAGUGAAAGUUAUUACCAAAAUGCUUCAGUAAUUUUCAUGAUCAAUGUUUCUUACAUUAGAGACGCAAGGGACUACCACAUGUCCGCCACACAUGUUUUCAUGAGUGAAACGUAUCCUCAAUGGACGCCCUAACAAUGCCUGCAAUGAAAAACAUGUUAAAAGUCCAUAGCUAAGACGUUUCAAUUAUUGAUUGAUCUUCAUCUUUAAAUGUUGGCAACCAUGAGCAAAAGAUUAAUAACACCCUCAUUCAAUUAUGUUACCACUAUACACUAACAAUUACAUUUCGGUCUAUGGCUUCCUUCGCAGAUUUAACAUUGUCUUCCGUCGGAACACGACAAACCCAAAGACUCUUGAUUUCCCUCCGUCUUUAUCAUGCACAAUCCUUACUGAAUAUAUGAAACACAAGGAAGACUAUGACGUUUAGUAUUUUUUGUCAUAUUAGAUACUAAGAUGUAAGGUUGCAGGGACGUGAGGUUACAAUCUGGGAUUAAUCACAUCUUCAUCAUUAACAAUUUUCAAUCAAAAUAUAAAAUGCAAGAAUAAAUAGUAGCACUAAUUCCUCUAAUAAAAAAAAACUCAAUGGAUUUUCGUAUAGGAUAUAAUUAGGUUAAGUUGUUCAACUCAGUCCCAAAUUCGAUUAAUUUGUAACAUCCAUCCAUACAUUUUAUUUUCCUGGUAGCCCAAAAUCUUUGUGAACAGUUUAAAUUAUGAUUUAUAUCUAGGUAUGUGAUGUAGAACAGUGUUGAUGUCAUCACCAACAAUGCUGACAUCAUCGUCAGAAAUUUAUUUUUCUUAUUUUCUUUUUAUCUUAUUAUUUUAUUUAGUAAUUUCUAUUAGAGUCUAGAAGUUCUAAAAUAGUUGGUUUACUAUUAAAUUGAUAUUAGUAAUACAAUUCAAAGUAGGAUUUGUAUUUUGAUUUCUUUGUUUAGGAAGUCCUAGUGUUAGUUGGUCUAAGUUUUUAGUUUAUAUAAAGAGUCAUGUUUUGUAGAACAAUUAUUCAAUUAUUCAAUCAAUACAAUUAAGAUUAGUCUCUACAAUUUAUUUUUCUUUAGUUUUGUUUUAGUUCUUCCUUGUUUCAAGGCAAUCCUCCCCUUAGGUUAUUCAAGGUUUGAUUUUUAAUCGCUUCCGCUACGUCAAUUGGUUUCAAGAGCUCUGUUUCGAUCCUACAAUGGUUAAUGACGGAGAUUCUUCACCCCGCUCCCAAGUCGGUAAUCUUGGAGAUUAUGUGACGAAGGUUGAAUUCAAUUUGGCUAUUAAUCGUCUCACCACUUUAAUCGAGAAACUUACUCUUCGAUUUGAUAAGUUUGAAGGUAAGCAAUCUAUUGUUGAUGCUCACCCUCCCACUCUCUACUAUGACCAACAUAUCUCAACCACCCCAAUUUUCCACCACCACCACCACAACUUUACCACAAGUUUCCAAUAUUGACUUCACAUCUCUCCCUAUAGAUGGUUGCCCGCAAACACCACAAAACCUAUUUUCAUAUCCCUACCUAUACAUACAACCCUAUAAUACUUCCCAACCAUCUCAACUCUCCAAUACUCCACAAGUUCGCACCACUUAUACCACUAUUGCUUCUCCAUCUCAAUCUCGCUACCAACUCCCACAUUUAACUAACAAUGUUCCACCCACUACACAGAAUUUUCAACCACCCCCCAAUCUUCCUACUAAUCGUUUUCAACAAACUUAUCACCGUCGCGUCCCUCGAGCACCAAAUUCUUAUCUUGAUGAUCAUGAUAGUGAUGAUGUGUAACACCCCAAAAUACAAUUCAUAUCUCAAUAAGUUUGAACCGCAUCUCGAGGCAUUAAACCAACACUAAGGACAAAAUUUAUCAUUUCUAAUCUAUUAAUAAAAAACCUUGGGAAUCAGGUGUUGAAUUCAUUUUCUCCAUUUACGACAAAAUCGCAAGUACACAAAAACAAACUUUUUAUAUAUAUAAAUAAUAACUCAACUUACAUGAUUCUGUAGUAUAUAUACAAGACUGUUUUCGUAAUAGUUAUAUAUACAUAUAUCUCAUAUAAAGUGACUAACAAAAGAUUAUUUCAACCCUCGCCCACUCUCUCACAUAAGACAAAAGUAGUCAUCAUCCCCGUCAUCGACUACCUCUACAGCAGGCUCCUCAAUUGUAGAAUCGUCUGAAAAGGGUAAUGGUAGGGUGAGCAUAAUCCACUUGCUCAGUAGUGACUUACAGUUCCAAUAUAAAUCUAAUUAUGACGAUUUAAUCCAUAAUAAACAGUUGUAAAUAAUGCAAGAUUUUUAAAUAAAUAAAAGGCGAAUAAUAAAAACGGAAAUGUAAAACAUUACAAUAUAAUAUCAUCACAAGUAUACUAUAUAUAAGCAAACCAUCAUACAAUAGUUUCGGGUAGCUGCAUCCUACUAGAAUGAUGAGGUACGACCGCUAUACCGCCCCGGUCGCAGGCAAUCUCUUGGUUCAGUACUUACCAGUGUGAACCUACACCGUUAUUUCCUGAUUUCCGGUGGGGUGACUGUAUUACCGUUAUUGUGUUCCCAGAACACUAAACCCGUCUAUUUAGGCUCAGGUGGGCCUUUGACCACGAUUCCUGAUACGAGGAAUCCCUGACUUACGGUGGUCAACCGUUCGACGACUGCAGACUGCACAGGAUCCUGACACACGUCCAGGAGUGGACUAACUCUCACCCCUCGCGUCUAAACCUCAUCGAGGUAACAUGUAGUCUCAUCUGAACUAAUAUAUCAACAACGUACCACUACAUGAAUGGUGGUCUGGAAUGGUGAAAAGGAAUUCCCGGAUACAUCUCUAAUGUAUCUCUCUAGAAGGCGGCCCAUUCACCUUCUAAAGGUGAACACCAUAGAUGUCAUCCUAGAAUGAACUGUCGUCUCCGGAAUAUGACAACAACUCAUUCUUUAUAGGAAUUCACAGGUCCCUCUCCAAACUACCUCAUUAUAUAAAUAAAUAUAUAUAAUAUAUUAGUUACUUUCUUUAUAUAUAUUUAAAUGUGUGGUGUGUCCCCAGAUUUAAACAAUAUCCAUGGCUACCCUAACCGGGCCACAGCCAUAAUCAAAUAUGAUCCGUAUAGUUGGCUACCCUAACCGGGCCACAGCCAUAAUCGUGACAGCAUACCAGAUCAAUAUUUCCACCAAUCUAGGGACCUCACACAUCCCAGUUAUACAUUACAAUCGGGUUUCCUUGCCCCGCAUUACAAAACCAAAUCUUUUCCACCAUUGGAAAGAGAUUUAUCGAGAAAUUCCUUUUUAAAACACUAUUUUUAUAUAAAAUAUAAAUAAACUAAGUUAAUCCAAUAAUCAAAUUUUUCGAGGAAUCCAAUCGCAAUCAUCGACUUAAUAAUAAGAAAUGAACCGAAUAGCAAUUCCUGUUAGCAAUAAUAUUCAACCAAAACCAUGCAUGAAUUUCAAUAACGACUAUCUCCAUUCAUUUAUAAAAUAUGAGCAUGAAAAGAAAUAUAAAGGUUCUGUAAGUCCCUACCUCAGCUCGCUCCUGCUACCACUAUCAAAGCCCGGUGAAAGGAACUAUGUCGCUAUCCUAAAAUAUAAGAACAAGCAUAAGCCCAAAAUCUAAAGAUUUAAUAAUUUGCUACUAUCUAACUAAUUAUCUAAAGUAUUCCAAUCGAUUGUUAGUUUCGUGUUUUUUUUAUAUGUUGUCUAAUAAAGCAAAUUAUCCGAGCUAUAGCGUAUU